rnacentral:tRNA from 1 species
AAAAUUGAAGUAAGAAUACAUUUGGAUUCGGCCCAAAUAAUGGCAAUAGCCCUAUUUUA